rnacentral:rRNA from 1 species
GAUGAACGCUGGCGGCGUGCCUAAUACAUGCAAGUCGAGCGAACGGACGAGAAGCUUGCUUCUCUGAUGUUAGCGGCGGACGGGUGAGUAACACGUGGAUAACCUACCUAUAAGACUGGGAUAACUUCGGGAAACCGGAGCUAAUACCGGAUAAUAUUUUGAACCGCAUGGUUCAAAAGUGAAAGACGGACUUGCUGUCACUUAUAGAUGGAUCCGCGCUGCAUUAGCUAGUUGGUAAGGUAACGGCUUACCAAGGCAACGAUGCAUAGCCGACCUGAGAGGGUGAUCGGCCACACUGGAACUGAGACACGGUCCAGACUCCUACGGGAGGCGGCAGUAGGGAAUCUUCCGCAAUGGGCGAAAGCCUGACGGAGCAACGCCGCGUGAGUGAUGAAGGUCUUCGGAUCGUAAAACUCUGUUAUUAGGGAAGAACAUAUGUGUAAGUAACUGUGCACAUCUUGACGGUACCUAAUCAGAAAGCCACGGCUAACUACGUG